rnacentral:rRNA from 1 species
CUACGUGCCAGCAGCCGCGGUAAUACGGAGGGUGCGAGCGUUAAUCGGAAUAACUGGGCGUAAAGGGCACGCAGGCGGUGACUUAAGUGAGGUGUGAAAGCCCCGGGCUUAACCUGGGAAUUGCAUUUCAUACUGGGUCGCUAGAGUACUUUAGGGAGGGGUAGAAUUCCACGUGUAGCGGUGAAAUGCGUAGAGAUGUGGAGGAAUACCGAAGGCGAAGGCAGCCCCUUGGGAAUGUACUGACGCUCAUGUGCGAAAGCGUGGGGAGCAAACAGGAUUAGAUACCCUGGUAGUCCACGCUGUAAACGAUGUCGAUUUGGGGGGUGAGCUUUAAGUUUGGCGCCCGUAGCUAACGUGAUAAAUCGACCGCCUGGGGAGUACGGCCGCAAGGUUAAAACUCAAAUGAAUUGACGGGGGCCCGCACAAGCGGUGGAGCAUGUGGUUUAAUUCGAUGCAACGCGAAGAACCUUACCUACUCUUGACAUCCAGAGAACAUUC